UGUACCGAAGUCUGAGAUGGAAGAUGGCGAGAAAAGCUGUGUGUAUUUCUGCGGUGCCCGUACCGCAAACCGACACAGGUAGGUAGGAAGAAGAUUCUAAGGCCAACGGGAGAAGGGUUGUUAAGGAACUCGGCAAAUUGACCCCGUAACUUCGGGAGAAGGGGUGCUGCAGCGAUGCAGCCGCAGAGAAUCGGCCCAAGCAACUGUUUACCAAAAACACAGGUUUGUGCUAAAUCGAAAGAUGACGUAUACGAGCUGACGCCUGCCCGGUGCUGGAAGGUUAAGAGGAGAUGUGCAAGCAUUGAAUCGAAGCCCCAGUGAACGGCGGCCGUAACUAUAACGGUCCUAAGGUAGCGAAAUUCCUUGUCAGGUAAGUUCUGACCCGCAUGAAAGGCGUAAUGAUUUGGGCACUGUCUCAACAGCCCGCCCGGCGAAAUUGUAGUACCGGUGAAGAUGCCGGUUACCCGCGACAAGACGGAAAGACCCCAUGGAGCUUUACUGUAGCCUAAUAUUGGGUUUCGAUGUUGCAUGCACAGGAUAGAUGGGACUCUUGGAAACGAUUGCUUUGGCGGUCGCGGAGAGGCCGUUGGGAUACCAUCCUUGCGAUAUUGGAAUUCUAACCUGCGCCUUUGAAUCAAGGCGGGGGACAUUGUUAGGUGGGCAGUUUGACUGGGGCGGUCGCCUCCUAAAGAGUAACGGAGGCGUUCAAAGGUUCGCUCAGCUUGAACGGAAAUCAAGCAAAAGAGUGCAAACGCAGAAGCGAGCCUAACUGCGAGACUGACGGGUCGAGCAGUAACGAAAGUUGGAGUUAGUGAUCCGGUGGUGUGUGAGUGGAAAUGCCAUCGCUCAACGGAUAAAAGUUACCCUGGGGAUAACAGGCUGAUCUCCCCCAAGAGUCCACAUCGACGGGGAGGUUUGGCACCUCGAUGUCGGCUCAUCGCAUCCUGGGGCUGUAUUCGGUCCCAAGGGUUUGGCUGUUCGCCAAUUAAAGCGGUACGCGAGCUGGGUUCAGAACGUCGUGAGACAGUUCGGUCCCUAUCUGUCGUGGGCGCAGGAUAUUUGAUGGGAGCUGUUCCUAGUACGAGAGGACCGGAGCGGACGUACCUCUGGCGCACCAGUUGUUCUGCCAAGAGCAUAGCUGGGCAACUAUGUACGGAUCGGAUAAACGCUGAAAGCAUCUAAGCGUGAAGCCGACCCAAAGAUAAGAUAUCCCAUUGUUUCAAACAAGUAAGACCCCUUGAAGACUACAAGGUUGAUAGGCACGAUGUGUAAGUGGAGUGAUCCAUUCAGCAAGCGUGUACUAAUAGGUCGAGGGCUUGAGC
rnacentral:rRNA from 1 species